rnacentral:rRNA from 1 species
CAUAAACCGUGGCUCAGUUCAGAUCGUAGGCUGCAACUCGCCUACGUGAAGUAGGAAUCGCUAGUAAUCGCAGGUCAGCAUACUGCGGUGAAUACGUUCCCGGGCCUUGUACACACCGCCCGUCACACCAUGGAAGUUGGCCACGCCCGAAGCCGUUACUCCAACCCUCGGGAGGAGGACGUCGAAGGUGGGGCUGAUGACUGGGGUGAAGUCGUAACAAGGUAUCCGUACCGGAAGGUGCGGAUGGAUCACCUCCUAA